rnacentral:rRNA from 1 species
CCUACGGGUGGCAGCAGUGAGGAAUAUUGGUCAAUGGACGAGAGUCUGAACCAGCCAAGUAGCGUGAAGGAUGACUGCCCUAUGGUUUGUAAACUUCUUUUAUAAAGGAAUAAAACGAGGCACGUGUGCCUUUUUGCAUGUACUUUAUGAAUAAGGAUCGGCUAACUCCGUGCCAGCAGCCGCGGUAAUACGGAGGAUCCGAGCGUUAUCCGGAUUUAUUGGGUUUAAAGGGAGCGUAGAUGGGUUGUUAAGUCAGUUGUGAAAGUUUGCGGCUCAACCGUAAAAUUGCAAUUGAUACUGGCAGUCGUGAGUACAGUUGAGGUAGGCGGAAUUCGUGGUGUAGCGGUGAAAUGCUUAGAUAUCACGAAGAACCCCGAUUGCGAAGGCAGCUUACUAAACUGUGACUGACAUUGAUGCUCGAAAGUGUGGGUAUCAAACAGGAUUAGAUACCCUAGUAGUC